rnacentral:ncRNA from 1 species
CAAAAGUUUGGUCCUGACUUCACUAUCAGUUUUAACUAAAAUUAUACAUGCAAGUAUCCGCAUUCCCGUGAGAUUUCCUUAAGUCUUCUUUUGAAUUCUAAGAAAUGAUAUCAGGCACAAUAAGUUUUAGCCCAAAACAUCAGGCUUAGCCACACCCCCAAGGGAAUUCAGCAGUGAGAAACAUUAAGCUAUAAGCGAAAGCUUGACUUAGUUAUAGUUAUUAGGGCCGGUAAAACUCGUGCCAGCCACCGCGGUUAUACGAGAGGCUCAAAUUGAUUGUUAACGGCGUAAAGCGUGUUUAAAGUACAAAUAAACUAAAGCAGAACAUAUUCGAAACUGUUAUACGUUCUUGGAUAAAAGAAAAACUCUUACGAAAGUAGCUUUAACUAUCUUGAAUACACGAGAGCUGUGAAACAAACUGGGAUUAGAUACCCCACUAUGCAUAGCCCUAAACUUUAAUAUUAAAAUACAUAUACAUUCGCCAGAGUACUACGAGCAUAAGCUUAAAACCCAAAGGACUUGGCGGUGCUUUAGUCCCACCUAGAGGAGCCUGUUCUAUAACCGAUAACCCCCGUUAAACCUUACCUUUUCUUGUUCUUCCCGCCUAUAUACCGCCGUCGUCAGCUCACCCUGUGAAGGAAGCUUAGUAAGCAAAACCAAUAUAAUUCAAAACGUCAGGUCGAGGUGUAGCAUAUGAAAAGGAAAGAAAUGGGCUACAUUUCCUAUAUCAGGAUAUUACGGACAGUAUUAUGAAAAAUAAUAGUUAAAGGAGGAUUUAGCAGUAAGCAGGGAACAGUAUGCCCCGCUGAAGCCGGCCCUGAAGCACGCACACACCGCCCGUCACUCUCCCUAAACAUCAUACCUUGACUAUAUAAUAUAAAUCUAAAACAAAAGGGAGGCAAGUCGUAACAUGGUAAGUAUACCGGAAGGUGUACUUGGCUAACC